CUACGGGCUGCAGCAGUGAGGAAUUUUGCGCAAUGGGCGAAAGCCUGACGCAGCAACGCCGCGUGAGUGAUGAAGGCCUUCGGGUCGUAAAGCUCUGUCAAGUGGGAAGAACCUAUGUAAUGUUAAUAUCAUUAUAUACUGACGGUACCACUGAAGGAAGCACCGGCUAACUCCGUGCCAGCAGCCGCGGUAAUACGGGGGGUGCAGGCGUUAUUCGGAAUCAUUGGGCGUAAAGGGCACGUAGGCGGCCUGGUAAGUCAGAUGUGAAAGCCCGGGGCUUAACCCCGGAAGUGCAUUUGAUACUGUCAGGCUUGAGUAUGGGAGAGGGAAGUGGAAUUCCUGGUGUAGAGGUGAAAUUCGUAGAUAUCAGGAGGAACACCGGUGGCGAAGGCGACUUCCUGGACCAAUACUGACGCUGAGGUGCGAAGGCGUGGGUAGCAAACAGGAUUAGAUACCCCUGUAGUC
rnacentral:rRNA from 1 species